rnacentral:rRNA from 1 species
GAUGAACGCUGGCGGCAGGCCUAACACAUGCAAGUCGAGGGGCAGCGCGGGUAGCAAUACUUGGCGGCGACCGGCGCACGGGUGCGUAACACGUAUACAAUCUGCCUUCUACAGGGGGAUAGCCUUUCGAAAGAGAGAUUAAUACCCCAUAAUAAAUUGAAUGGCAUCAUUUGAUUUUGAAAGUUCCGACGGUAGAAGAUGAGUAUGCGGCUGAUUAGCUAGUUGGUGAGGUAACGGCUCACCAAGGCAACGAUCAGUAGGGGAUCUGAGAGGACUACCCCCCACACUGGUACUGAGACACGGACCAGACUCCUACGGGAGGCAGCAGUGGGGAAUAUUGGUCAAUGGGCGCAAGCCUGAACCAGCCAUGCCGCGUGCAGGAAGACGGUCCUAUGGAUUGUAAACUGCUUUUAUACAGGAAGAAACAACUCUACGUGUAGAGUCUUGACGGUACUGUGGGAAUAAGGAUCGGCUAACUCCGUGCCAGCAGCCGCCGUAAGAC